UUCUCAACAACCUCCAUCCAUCCCAGCACCCACCCAUUCCCAAAGAGAUACCCAGCAUUGUUUAUGUGGAGUUGGAAACAAUACACUCCCCACUGCUGGUUAAUUUACAUCAGAUACAGCCAGGCCCAGGAAGCAAAGUGCCUGUCGUUUUCACCCCUUUUUUCUUCUCCCUUGCUUGCUCAUGCCCCCUCACCCCUUUUAAUUUAAAUUACUCGUUUUAACUUAAAAACUUCUGGAUGUUUUAUUACCUUGGCAGCUUUUUCUCUGGAUUGACUAAAAAGAGAAGGAGUCUUGCCAUAUUACCCAGGCUGGUCUUGAACUUCCGGGCUCAAGUGAUGUGCUCGCCUUGGCCUCCCAAAGUGCUGGAAUUACAGGCAUGAGCCACUGCGCCCAGCCCCCAUGUCUUCCUUUUUUAGAAAAGAGUUAAAAGUUACCUGGUUGAAAAUGGCUGACGACAGAUACCAGACAGCCACCCUCUCCAGAAAGAAGAGCCAAAAUUAGGAAUAAAAAUACCUCAAAUAGAAGAGAACACUAGAGUCCAAGGGUGAAUUCACAGCAAACACCAGAGGCAUAGAAAGAGAAGAAAGGAAGCAGCCAGCUUAACCAAGAUCAACCAAGAGCCCCGAGGGACUCCCUAUUACAGGAAAACGGUCCUGAAUUCCAGCAGAAUGGCUGAAGCCAACCAGUCUCAAGACCUCAACCAAGGAACCAACCAACUCUGCACAGGAAUGCGGUUUCUUCAUCUCCCUGUCCCAGGAAUUCCCCCUUGCUUCUUGACCAAUCAGCAAUCCCCACAUUUUAGCCCUACCUGUUCAGACCCUUUACAAGCUCCAUCCCCAAACCCUGGAGGGAGGAGGAUUUGAAGGUUCCUCUGUCUCAUUUGACUGCCCUACAAUUAUUAAACUCUUUCUCUACUGCAACUCCCAUUGUGUCUGCAUACUGGUCUGUUAUCAUGCAACAAGCAAUCAAACCUAGUGGUCCUAUAACACUUUGGUUUAACUUUAUUUAGUUAAAAUACAGUAAUUUUUAAACCAGCCUAUUUUAAGUGGGAAGGUGGAACAGUUUGUAACAUACCAUGUUAAAAAAUAUAAACAUAAUAACAAUAAGACCAAUAUAAAUAAGCUGCUAUUAUAUACUGGUUAACCUCAUAAUGAUCAUGUGUCAA
rnacentral:lncRNA from 10 species